rnacentral:rRNA from 1 species
GNAUUUAUUGGGCGUAAAGCGAGCGCAGGCGGUUAGAUAAGUNUGAAGUUAAAGGCUGUGGCUUAACCAUAGUACGCUUUGGAAACUGUUUAACUUGAGUGCAGAAGGGGAGAGUGGAAUUCCAUGUGUAGCGGUGAAAUGCGUAGAUAUAUGGAGGAACACCGGUGGCGAAAGCGGCUCUCUGGUCUGUAACUGACGCUGAGGCUCGAAAGCGUGGGGAGCGAACAGGAUUAGAUACCCUGGUAGUCCACGCCGUAAACGAUGAGUGCUAGGUGUUAGGCCCUUUCCGGGGCUUAGUGCCGCAGCUAACGCAUUAAGCACUCCGCCUGGGGAGUACGACCGCAAGGUUGAAACUCAAAGGAAUUGACGGGGGCCCGCACAAGCGGUGGAGCAUGUGGUUUAAUUCGAAGCAACGCGAAGAACCUUACCAGGUCUUGACAUCCCGAUGCCCGCUCUAGAGAUAGAGUUUUACUUCGGUACAUCGGUGACAGGUGGUGCAUGGUUGUCGUCAGCUCGUGUCGUGAGAUGUUGGGUNANNNNNNNCAACGAGCGCAACCCUUAUUGUUAGUUGCCAUCAUUCAGUUGGGCACUCUAGCGAGACUGCCGGUAAUAAACCGGAGGAAGGUGGGGAUGACGUCAAAUCAUCAUGCCCCUUAUGACCUGGGCUACACACGUGCUACAAUGGCUGGUACAACGAGUCGCAAGUCGGUGACGGCAAGCUAAUCUCUUAAAGCCAGUCUCAGUUCGGAUUGUAGGCUGCAACUCGCCUACAUGAAGUCGGAAUCGCUAGUAAUCGCGGAUCAGCACGCCGCGGUGAAUACGUUCCCGGGCCU